UGACUUGGCCAAGGUCCUGGUUCUUAAAGACAAGCCAAUGAUUGAACAUGGUGGCGUUCCUGCAGGACCUGGGUCUCCUCAACCAGGAGAUGCUGCCUCAAGAACUCCCCAGAAGCCUGGCUGAAACUUUCUUGGAAUAAGGCUACAGUCUGAGACUCUUCCUACUUAAUCCUCCUUCACAGGGGUCAGACCUACAUCAUGGUCUGAUGGUUUUCCCAGCGUUGUUGGCUUCUUCCUUCUUCUCCUUCACAGGCAGUGCCCUCA
rnacentral:lncRNA from 1 species